AUUGAACGCUGGCGGCAGGCCUAACACAUGCAAGUCGAACGAGUGGCGUACGGGUGAGUAAUGUCUGGGAAUCUGCCCGAUGGCGGGGGAUAACAACUGGAAACAGUAGCUAAUACCGCAUACCAUCGGAUGUGCCCAGAUGGGGUUAGCUAGUAGGUGGGGUAACGGUUAACCUAGGCGACGUUCCCUAGCUGGUCUGAGAGGAUGACCGGCAACACUGGAACUGAGACACAGUCCAAACUCCUGCGGGAGGCAGCAGGGGGGAAUAUUGCACAAUUGGCGCAAGCCUGAUGCAGCAAUGCCGAGUGUAUGAAGAAGGCCUUCGGGUUGUAAAGUACUUUCAGCGAGGACGCGUUACUCGAAGAAGAAGCACCGGCUAACUCCGUGCCAGCAGCCGAGGUAAUAC
rnacentral:rRNA from 1 species